AUGCAACCACACCCAUAUAUGCAUCCUGCUACUUGUAAAAACAUAUUUUACCUUUCACAGACCUCUCCAUCAGACACCAAGGGUCUAUGCUGCAGACCGGGUGCCCCAAAGGCUCUGCAGCCUUCCCCGCUCCCUGGGCUUUGCCUGCCUGUGCUCAAGGCCAGCUCCGAUGCGGCACAGCUGCGUAACUGGGCAAUCACUGGCCUGCUGACUGACCGCUCACUGCCACCAGCCCCGCUGCGUGCUUCUCACCCACGUACUGCGGGAGGGUGCCUCUUCCCAGGGCGGGCGCUGCCCUGCCUGCCUGGCUGCCACCCUCGGCUCCCAGCUCACCUUCCUGGUGGAGCAGCCUGCUCCUGGGGCUCCCCGACCCUGACUGCCAGGCCUGCAGCCCUUGGGAGCCUGCCGUGGGGUAACCAGGGCUCAGGUGUGUCCCUGUCCCAGCUGUCCUUCACCCUUGUGAUGGAGAGGGAACAGAGGGAUGAGUAUCGUGCCUCAAAUACAGAUCAUCUCCCCUUGCUGACCCAUUCCUCCUUCCUUUCCCGUACACCAGGCAUCAGCUGCCAGUUCAUAAGCUCUUGCUUAGUAAAUACCAAAGAUAAGAGGAGAACAUCAAAUAGCAGUCUUUCUCUGAGAAACUMAAACACACCCUUUUCAUUUUCUCAAGCACAGAGUUCACUAAUGCUUCCUGGUAAUUACUGUCAUUACAGCCCUGUGCAUUACCCUAUUCCAGGCACAGAUCAAGCAGCUGUUAGGAAGAGGCACCUGUUCAGCAGACUUUACCGAGCCCUGUCUUUCAGAUGUAAUUAUAUGAAAAAUAGAYGCAUUGUUGGUAGUGUCUGUGCCCAGGAGCGCUCUGAGGCACCGCUCCUGCCAGGUGCCUCGAUUACAGACUGCGGAAAACCUCAGCGGGACACAGUGCAGGGAUGGAGCAGCCCUUUGGUCACUGCCUCCAGGAAUCAGGUUCUUUCAGGAGGGUUUUUUUUUAAAGUGCUUAUUUGGAAACAGUCUUUGUCACAUUCCCAGCUACUACAUCAAAGACUUGGAACCGGAGGGCUGGGUGGGAAUGUUGCAACACACCAGCGUGCCGGGGCUCACUGCUGA
rnacentral:lncRNA from 1 species